rnacentral:rRNA from 1 species
GUGGAUGGAAUUUGUAACGUAACGAUAAAAUGUAUCAAUCUUACAAGGAACUUUUUAAGCGAAGGUAAUCCACUUAAGAAUAAAAGUUUAAAAACUACUGUCACUUAUUAGCUAAAGUUUGAGUAUCAACAUAGAUUUGUAACCUAUUUAGUUCAAACCGUAAACGAUGGCUGUUUUUUCAAACCUCAUUGAAAGUAGUUAACAUAAAACAGCCUACCUGAACAGUAAGUCCGCAAGGAUGAAAUUGAAAGAAUUAGAUGAAGAAAUAGAUCAUCUGUGGAGUAUGUUGUUUAAUGUGAUAAUACUCACUAAUCUUACCCAGUUUUGUAUCUUGCUAGACUUAAACCCACCGAGAAUAAUUCUCUUGAUUUACAGCAAGACAGAUGUUGCAUGAUUGUCGUCAGUUCUUACUGCGAAAUAUUAGAUUAAUUUCUACAAAGAGCGUAAUACUAAUCCUUUGUUAAAUAUUCUAAGGAGAUCGUCUAAAAUAAUUCUACUGAAACUAGUAAUACGUCUAAAUCUAUAUGACUUAUAUAACUGGGGCUACCUAAUGUACUACAUUGAAAGUUGACGCAAAGAGUUGCACUCUCAAAAUAAGUAUGAUAGCCAAUCUUUAAAUCACUUUCGAAUUCGGAUUGCUCUUUGAGACUUAAGAGCAUGAAGUUGGAAUAGAUAGUAAUGAUCAAAUAGAAAAUGAUCAUGAACUUUAACAUAUUUCUUUUACUUAUCGCCCAUCAAUUU